rnacentral:rRNA from 1 species
GAUGAACGCUGGCGGCGUGCCUAAUACAUGCAAGUCGAGCGAACAGAUGAGGAGCUUGCUCCUCUGACGUUAGCGGCGGACGGGUGAGUAACACGUGGAUAACCUACAUAUAAGACUGGGAUAACUUCGGGAAACCGGAGCUAAUACCGGAUAAUAUAUUGAACCGCAUGGUUCAAUAGUGAAAGACGGUUUUGCUGUCCCUUAUAGAUGGUUCCGCGCCGCAUUAGCUAGUUGGUAAGGUAACGGCUUACCAAGGCAACGAUGCGUAGCCGACCUGAGAGGAUGAUCGGCCACACUGGAACUGAGACACGGUCCAGACUCCUACGGGAGGCAGCAGUAGGGAAUCUUCCGCAAUGGGCGAAAGCCUGACGGAGCAACGCCGCGUGAGUGAUGAAGGUCUUCGGAUCGUAAAACUCUUUUAUUAGGGAAGAACAAAUGUGUGAGUAUCUAUGCAUGUCUUGACGGUACCUAAUCAGAAAGCCACGGCUAACUACGUG